rnacentral:rRNA from 1 species
AACGAACGCUGGCGGCAGGCCUAACACAUGCAAGUCGAGCGCGCCUUCGGGUGAGCGGCGGACGGGUGAGUAACGCGUGGGAAUAUGCCCUUCUCUACGGAAUAGUCCUGGGAAACUGGGGGUAAUACCGUAUACGCCCUUUGGGGGAAAGAUUUAUCGGGGAAGGAUUAGCCCGCGUUGGAUUAGGUAGUUGGUGGGGUAAUGGCCUACCAAGCCGACGAUCCAUAGCUGGUUUGAGAGGAUGAUCAGCCACGCUGGGACUGAGACACGGCCCAGACUCCUACGGGAGGCAGCAGUGGGGAAUCUUAGACAAUGGGGGCAACCCUGAUCUAGCCAUGCCGCGUGAGUGAUGAAGGCCUUAGGGUUGUAAAGCUCUUUCAGCUGGGAAGAUAAUGACGGUACCAGCAGAAGAAGCCCCGGCUAACUCCGUG